rfam:Gossypium raimondii Chr02_contig_584, whole genome shotgun sequence.
AUGUCUUUUAACAUAUUAAGAAGUCGAAUUGACAAUGAAGAAAGAAGUAGGAAGCCGAAAAGCCAUCAUUGCCUAUAAUCAAAACCCAUAAACCCGUACCAUGAUUCUUUCUUCACUGCCAAUUCGACUUCCUGAUAUGUUAAAAGAAAU